GAUGAACGCUGGCGGCGUGCCUAAUACAUGCAAGUCGAACGCGCAGCGAAAGGUGCUUGCACCUUUCAAGCGAGUGGCGAACGGGUGAGUAACACGUGGAUAACCUGCCUCAAGGCUGGGGAUAACAUUUGGAAACAGAUGCUAAUACCGAAUAAAACUUAGUAUCGCAUGAUACAAAGUUAAAAGGCGCUACGGCGUCACCUAGAGAUGGAUCCGCGGUGCAUUAGUUAGUUGGUGGGGUAAAGGCUUACCAAGACGAUGAUGCAUAGCCGAGUUGGGAGACUGAUCGGCAACAUUGGGACUGAGACACGGCCCAAACUCCUACGGGAGGCUGCAGUAGGGAAUCUUCCACAAUGGGCGCAAGCCUGAUGGAGCAACGCCGCGUGUGUGAUGAAGGCUUUCGGGUCGUAAAGCACUGUUGUAUGGGAAGAAAUGCUAAAAUAGGGAAUGAUUUUAGUUUGACGGUACCAUACCAGAAAGGGACGGCUAAAUACGUGCCAGCAGCCGCCGUAA
rnacentral:rRNA from 1 species